rnacentral:rRNA from 1 species
AGAGUUUGAUCCUGGCUCAGGAUGAACGCUGGCGGCGUGCCUAAUACAUGCAAGUCGAGCGAACAGACGAGGAGCUUGCUCCUUUGAUGUUAGCGGCGGACGGGUGAGUAACACGUAGGUAACCUACCUAUAAGACUGGGAUAACUUCGGGAAACCGGAGCUAAUACCGGAUAAUAUUUCGAACCGCAUGGUUCGAUAGUGAAAGAUGGCUUUGCUAUCACUUAUAGAUGGACCUGCGCCGUAUUAGCUAGUUGGUAAGGUAACGGCUUACCAAGGCAACGAUACGUAGCCGACCUGAGAGGGUGAUCGGCCACACUGGAACUGAGACACGGUCCAGACUCCUACGGGAGGCGGCAGUAGGGAAUCUUCCGCAAUGGGCGAAAGCCUGACGGAGCAACGCCGCGUGAGUGAUGAAGGUCUUCGGAUCGUAAAACUCUGUUAUUAGGGAAGAACAAACGUGUAAGUAACUGUGCACGUCUUGACGGUACCUAAUCAGAAAGCCACGGCUAACUACGUGCCAGCAGCCGCGGUAAUACGUAGGUGGCAAGCGUUAUCCGGAAUUAUUGGGCGUAAAGCGCGCGUAGGCGGUUUUUUAAGUCUGAUGUGAAAGCCCACGGCUCAACCGUGGAGGGUCAUUGGAAACUGGAAAACUUGAGUGCAGAAGAGGAAAGUGGAAUUCCAUGUGUAGCGGUGAAUUGCGCAGAGAUAUGGAGGAACACCAGUGGCGAAGGCGACUUUUCUGGUCUGUAACUGACGCUGAUGUGCGAAAGCGUGGGGAUCAACAGGAUUAAUUCCCUGGUAGUCCACGCC